AGUGAACACUGGCGGUAGGCCUAACACAUGCAAGUCGAACGGCAGGACAGUAAGAGCUUGCUCUUACGGGUGGCGAGUGGCGGACGGGUGAGGAAUACAUCGGAAUCUACUUUUUCGGGGGGGAUAACGUAGGGAAACUUACGCUAAUACCGCAUACGACCUACGGGUGAAAGCAGGGGAUCUUCGGACCUUGCGCGAUUGAAUGAGCCGAUGUCGGAUUAGCUAGUUGGCGGGGUAAAGGCCCACCAAGGCGACGAUCCGUAGCUGGUCUGAGAGGAUGAUACGCCACAUGGGAACUGAGACGCCGUCCAGGCUCCUACGGGAGGCAGCAGUGGCGAAUAUUGGACAAUGGGCGGAAGCCUGAUACAGCCAUACCGAGUGGGUGAAGAAGGCCUUCGGGUUGUAAAGCCCUUUUGUUGGGAAAGAAAAGCAGCAGGUUAAUACCCCGCUGUUCUGACGGUACCCAAAGAAUAAGCACCGGCUAACUUCGUG
rnacentral:rRNA from 1 species